rnacentral:rRNA from 1 species
AGGAAGCACCGGCUAACUCCGUGCCAGCAGCCGCGGUAAUACGGAGGGUGCAAGCGUUGUUCGGAAUUAUUGGGCGUAAAGCGCGUGUAGGCGGUCGAGUAAGUCAGAUGUGAAAGCCUUCCGCUCAACGGAAGAAGUGCAUUUGAAACUGCUUGGCUAGAGUACGGGAGAGGAGAGUGGAAUUCCCGGUGUAGAGGUGAAAUUCGUAGAUAUCGGGAGGAACACCAGUGGCGAAGGCGGCUCUCUGGUCCGAUACUGACGCUGAGACGCGAAAGCGUGGGGAGCAAACAGGAUUAGAUACCCUGGUAGUCCACGCCGUAAACGAUGGGCACUAGGUGUAGGAGGUAUUGACCCCUUCUGUGCCGAAGCUAACGCA